rnacentral:lncRNA from 1 species
AUGACAACAGUGCCUAAGGCCUCAAGCCUUAAAGUUGCUGGCUGUUCUGGGGAGCUCUUACUGCUUUUGUUGAAUUUAUCAGAGCGAAGGAUAUUUAGUGCCUUCUUGAUAUCACUGAUACAAUUUCCCUUCUAUGAAGCUUUGAAAAUCUGUGGUACGGUAAAGCAGAGCAAUGGAAAAGUGAUGGGUUUCAAACCACAUGGAUCAAAACUAGAAAAGGAAAAAAAUAAUUUUUUUUGGUUUUGUUUUUUACUAGUCUGUACCAGGUAAGUCUCCAUCUCUUUGGAAUGCUUGUUGCUAUUGUGGUGUGAUGGUUUCAAUUUGAAAAUAUCAGCCAAGCAACCUGUUGUACAAAGGGGUAGUUCUGCUACCCUCCGUCCUCCUUUCUUUCAACACUUCUCUGACUGAAGAGUAACAAGUUCAGGGAAUCACACUGGAAACUCACAGAACAGAGGUUCCCCAAACCAGCCCAUUGUGGGGUCAGCCAAACCCUAGAUGAUUGAGAUGGGAUCAUGCAUGUGAAAGUAGCACAAGAAGCCCUCUGUUUGGUCCCAGCUUCUCACUGGACUGACUUACUAGAAGAAGACACACUCUCAGAAAGCCUACUUCUUUUCAGAAAUGUUCUUUUGUAAAGCAUAGAAUGAUCUGGAAAUGUGUCCUCUAAAUGCCUCCUCUAAAACACCUUGGUAAACUCAACACAUUGAUACAAACAGCCUUGAAGUUUCCUUCUACUGUUACAGGUGUUUUUUAUUAUUUCCCCUACUCCUUUUAUUUCUCCAUGUCUACACAUCAUAUUUUAGAACAUGGUGGUCUAAAAUGUGGUGUCAAAGUUCACAUUUUACUACUUUGAUCAGCAGUUUGAUUAUCAGCAUAUAAACUGACAAACUUUCAGUACUACUAAGAGUCAGACCCCCUAAACACACAGAAUAACUAUCUGCCUUUGAGUUUUGCUUGUGAAAGUGUUUUCUUCCCAUAAGGAGCCGGGAAGAGGUGAGGAUAUCUUCUACUGCCUGCACAGAUCUUGAAUAAAUGUGUUAAUUUACUUUUCUUUAGCUGCA